GGCCGGUUAGCGCAGUUGGUUAGCGCGUGGUGCUAAAAAUGCUAAGGUCGCUGGUUCGAUCCCCGUAUGGGUCA